rfam:Loxodonta africana unplaced genomic scaffold scaffold_0, whole genome shotgun sequence.
GCAGUGGUAGUUCAGUGGUAGAAUUCUUGCCUUCCACACAGGAGACCCAGGUUCGAUUCCUGGCCAAUGCA